CAAGUUGGGCGGGCACGCGCAGCAAAGAAGCUGAUCCAUCUCCUCCUCGAUGGCUCCUAGCCGUUUCUUCGCCGGUGGCAUGGUUUGAGGCAGAUUGGAUCGGAUUCCUCACCUCCUCCCACUCUCAGGCUCCCAGAUCAGCUCUCCGCCGUCCUCCUCCGCCCACCCCCCGUCACCUUCUCUUGCGAUUCAGCACUAGCUCAGCGGUCGUGGAUCCUCGCCUCCUUCCCGACCGGCCGCUUCUUGUUCUACGAAUAGGCCACCACGGUUCUUCAUUCUUCAGGAUCCAGUAAUGGAGGGUAGAAGUGCGAUCUCUCCUCUAGGAGAGCCCUCAAUUCCAAUGAUCGCAGCAUGUGCACCAGCACUAUCAGCCAUGGAAUCGGUUAACAAUGUUCAAAAUCAAGAUUUCAGUGAUGCAACGUCAUUCGCAGAAAUUAAUUCCCCAAUGCUUCUCAUUAAUGACUCCAGUACACCGAAAAAAAGAAUCAUUCUCUCAAGAGGGUUCUUUGUAUAAACCCCAGUGUGACGAGGAAUUGAAGCCAAAAGUAGGGAUGGUAUUUGAUGACAUUGCCUCAGUGCUAGAAUUUUACAGGACAUAUGCACACAAUGUCGGAUUUGGUGUGCGUCUUAGACAACAGAGGGUCGUAGAUAAUGUGCUUCAAUGGAAAUGCUUCCUGUGUGCAAAAGAAGGCUUCCAUCCCGAGAAAGGUAUGGUUGUUGUUGAGGCUUCAAAGAAAAGGAGAAAGGUUAAAUUGACUAGAUGUGGAUGUGAAGCUUAUAUAUGUCACUCGAGAAAGGAAUGGAAAAUACAAGAUAGCUUCACUCACUGAAUAUCACAAUCACCCUUUUGUGCCACUGAGCCAGCAACACUUGAUUAGAUCCAAUCGUCAAAUUAGUGAGAGAGUGAAGACAACACUUCACGAUUGUCAGAAAGCUAGCAUUGGCACUGCCUUAGCAUAUAGGCUACUUAAUGUUAGUGUUGGUGGUUUUCAGCAUGUUGGGUGCACCCAGAAAGACCUACAGAAUCACUAUGGUGGACUGAAAAAUAAAAUAAGAAAUUGUGAUGCUCAAAUGUUGGUGGACCAAUUUGGUAGAUUGAGGACUCUGAACCCUGCAUUUUUCUUUGAAUAUGAAGUUGACGAGGUCAGUACAUUGAUUCAUUUAUUCUGGACGGAUGCAUCAAGUAGGAAAAACUAUGGGCAUUUCAGCGAUGUCGUAUCUUUUGAUUCGACAUACAGCACUAACCAAUAUGAAUACACCUUUGCGCCCUUCACUAGAGUAAACCAUCACAUGCAAAGUGUCUUUUUUGGGGCGGGGUUUCUACUUCAUGAGACAGAAGAAUCCUAUAUUUGGCUGUUCAGGUCAUUUCUUAGAGCAAUGGGUGGGAUUGCGCCUAGAGUGAUCAUAACUGAUGAAUGUGUUAGGAUGAAAAAUGCAACCAGAAAAACUCUACCGAACACGACACAUAGAUUGCGCAUGUGGCACAUUAUGGAAAAGGUUCCAGGGGAAGGUACGCCUGGAAUUGAGGAAUGACCUUGUGUUCUAUGAUAGGCUGAAACAUUGUGUGUGGAAUUCUGAAACACCUGCUGAAUUUGAGGAUAGAUGGCAAUCUUUCAUCAUAGAGUUUCAGUUGGAGGACUAUGAGUGGUUUGCCAAAAGGUAUAAGCUUCGUGCGACAUGGAUACUAGCUUACUUUAUGGACAUUCACCUAGCUAGUCUACUCAGGACAACUUCUAUUUCAGAGAGUGCAAAUUCAUUUUUAAACGUUUCAUUCGUCACAAGCUUACCUUUGUUGAGUUUUGGCUAAGGCUUGACACUGCUUUGAAAUGUCAAAGUCAAAGUGAGGUGAUUGCCGAUAACACAAGUGAAUACACAACAAAGUGAGUUGUUGACAUCAUGGGAAAUAGAGAGACAAGGCAGGGUGCUAUUCACCCAUGAGGUUUUUGAAUUGUUUCAGGCUCAGGUGCUUGCUGCCAGAGAUGAUUGUGAUGUUCAGCAGACAGAAAAUCAUGAGGGGAUUAAAAUCAUGUUUGCCAGCGAUCAAUACAAGAAGAUUAGAGAAGUGUGUUAUGACACAACAUCCAUGACCGCUAAAUGUUCUUGCAAGCUUUUUGAGUCCAAGGGAAUUGUGUGCCGUCACAUUAUUAGGGUAUUUAGGGGUGCGAAAAUAAAUGAAUUGCCAAGCCUUUGUAUUCUUAAGCGAUGGAAGAAAAAAUGCAAAAGGGACAUUGUCUAUGAUGGGGAAGGGAAUGUGCUUGAAGAAAAUUUAACAUAUUUGGUUGACAUUCCUGUGAAAAGGAAGAUAGUUGCUAUGAGGGACAAGCUAGAAGAUCUCAUAGGAGAAUCCAAACACUCCAUGGAAGGAAUUGAAUUCCUACACAAUAGUUUGUGUGGCAUUGAGUUGGGUUUAGCCCAACUAGUUUCGACCGUACCAUGCAAUACACAAGAAAAUGAGGAGUCGUG